rnacentral:rRNA from 1 species
UCUUCUUGUUUUUAAGACCUAGCAAUAGGUAUGCUUAGGGAGGAGCUUGCGUCACAUUAGUUAGUUGGUGGGGUAAAGGCCUACCAAGACUAUGAUGUGUAGCCGGGCUGAGAGGUUGAACGGCCACAUUGGGACUGAGACACGGCCCAAACUCCUACGGGAGGCAGCAGUAGGGAAUUUUCGGCAAUGGAGGAAACUCUGACCGAGCAACGCCGCGUGAACGAUGAAGUAUUUCGGUACGUAAAGUUCUUUUAUUAGGGAAGAAUAAAUGAUGGAAAAAUCAUUCUGACGGUACCUAAUGAAUAAGCCCCGGCUAACUAUGUGCCAGCAGCCGCGGUAAUACAUAGGGGGCAAGGUUAUCCGGAAUUAUUGGGCGUAAAGGGUGCGUAGGCGGUUAAAUAAGUUUAUGGUCUAAGUGCAAUGCUCAAAUUGUGAUGCUAUAAAAACUGUUUAGCUAGAGUAAGAUAGAGGCAAGUGGAAUUCCAUGUGUAGUGGUAAAAUGCGUAAAUAUAUGGAGGAACACCAGUAGCGAAGGCGGCUUGCUGGGUCUUUACUGACGCUGAGGCACGAAAGCGUGGGGAGCAAACAGGAUUAGAUACCCUGGUAGUCCACGCCGUAAACGAUGAGUACUAAACGUUGGGUAAAACCAGUGUUGAAGUUAACACAUUAAGUACUCCGCCUGAGUAGUACGUACGCAAGUAUGAAACUUAAAGGAAUUGACGGGACUCCGCACAAGCGGUGGAUCAUGUUGUUUAAUUCGAAGGUACCCGAAAAACCUCACCAGGUCUUGACAUGCUUCUGCAAAGCUGUAGAAACACAGUGGAGGUUAUCAGUUGCACAGGUGGUGCAUGGUUGUCGUCAGCUCGUGUCGUGAGAUGUUGGGUUAAGUCCCGCAACGAGCGCAACCCUUAUUGUUAGUUACCAGCACGUAAUGGUGGGGACUUUAGCAAGACUGCCAGUGAUAAAUUGGAGGAAGGUGGGGACGACGUCAAAUCAUCAUGCCCCUUAUGACCUGGGCUACAAACGUGAUACAAUGGCUGUUACAAAGGGUAGCUGAAGCGCAAGUUUUUGGCGAAUCUCAAAAAAACAGUCUCAGUUCGGAUUGAAGUCUGCAACUCGACUUCAUGAAGUUGGAAUCGCUAGUAAUCGCGAAU